AAAAUAAUAAAGAAAGCAAAGAUAACUAAGGUCAGGGCGUGACAGUGACAUUAGCUGUCUGACUUCAUUAGCAAGCCAAUUUUCACACCAUAAACUCAAUUAUUUGAUCAGAUGAGUUGGCUAAUGUUGCUCAACAUUUCUCUGGCUAGGUAACAGAGAAUUUGAUCUGUGCUAAUACUUGUUCUGCCACACUUUCUCCCUCACCUCAAACAUUCCAAAUGCCUGUUUUUCAGUUACAGCUCAUGAAGUACACUUCAUCCCCGUGGUCAUCAGGCUUCUCACCUAACAUUACCUCUGUUUUCGUUCAGGGGAUGUGCUGCUGUAACUGCCUUUCUACUCUAUGCGGUCUUUCCAGAGCACGUGCGGAUGCUGUAACCAGAGUUGCUAGCGCCUCAGCACAAGGUGGAGCUCAGCUGCCUUUGAACUCAAAGGUAACCAAGGUACAGUUUGGGACUGAUGUAUCCAUCUAUUGGCUCUUUGAGUACAUCAACAUUUCCCAGUGGAUUCAGCACCCUGCUGGUCAGAGACUUGAUCAGGCUUACCAAGCUGGCAAGUAGCUUAAGAGGAUCUACUUGCUCUCACCCAGCACUACUGUACCUCACUGAUGGACUGUCUGAGCUUGGUGCCGACCUGACUAGAGAUUUGGGAGAGAACGGGGAGUACAUCUCAAGGACAAGGUCACCAUCUCUGUCGGCUGGGUAGUGAGACAGUGUGUGCGUGGCAGGACGUUUGUGUGUGUGUGUGUGUGUGUGAAGUCAGUAUAAAAUGAAUUGUAUUCUUUACUUUGAACGUUCU
ensembl:lncRNA